rnacentral:rRNA from 1 species
AGCCAGACUCCUACGGGAGGCAGCAGUGGGGAAUAUUGCACAAUGGGGGAAACCCUGAUGCAGCGACGCCGCGUGAGUGAAGAAGUAUUUCGGUAUGUAAAGCUCUAUCAGCAGGGAAGAAAAUGACGGUACCUGACUAAGAAGCCCCGGCUAACUACGUGCCAGCAGCCGCGGUAAUACGUAGGGGGCAAGCGUUAUCCGGAUUUACUGGGUGUAAAGGGAGCGUAGACGGCGGAACAAGUCAGAAGUGAAAACCCGGGGCUCAACCCUGGGAGUGCUUUUGAAACUGUUUGGCUGGAGUGCAGGAGAGGUAAGCGGAAUUCCUAGUGUAGCGGUGAAAUGCGUAGAUAUUAGGAGGAACACCAGUGGCGAAGGCGGCUUACUGGACUGUAACUGACGUUGAGGCUCGAAGGCGUGGGGAGCAAACAGGAUUAGAUACCCCUGUA